rnacentral:rRNA from 1 species
ACCUGGAAAUUAUUAAUUAAAAUUUUAAUAAAAGUUAGUGAUAUAACUAAUAGAAACAUCUCCAAUUUAAGUAAAGGUGAUUAAAUCUUAAUAACAUUUAUAGGGUAAAGUACUGUGAAGGAACAAAUAUUAAAAUUAAACUUUAGUAGAGACCGCCACUCGUACCUUUUGUAUAAUGGCUUAGCUAGAUUUCCUAUCUAUAUAGAAGGACUAGAAAACUAAUGAGCGACUCUACUUUUUCCUUAUAGAGAAAUAAAAGUAGGUGUGACAAAACCUUUUUUAAAAAUUAGAGUAGAAAUGAGAUUUUAUCCGCAUUGGUUGAUAGCUAGUUUCCCCCUAAAGGCAUAGAAGUGCUGCUAAUUUGAAAUGUAAUUAUAAUACAAGAUUAAAUUAAACUACUAUCGAAUUAGUUUAGUUCUUUGAGGAUUAGCUCGAAGAAUAUAGAAGCAAACCCUACGUUAGAACCUUAAAUUAAAUUUAGGCUUGAAAGUAGCUUAUAUUUUGAGUUUGUUAUAAAUCAUUAAAUAAUAUGGAGGAACAAUUAAUUUGUAAAAGUUUAAGAGGGAGGAUUUCAAUAACUGUUAUUGAUGUACUUUAAUGCUAAGAUGAGUAUUAUUAGAAUAUGAUAAAUAAACUAGAAAUAUGUAAAAACUAGAACUAAAAUAAAUAUGUAAACGACAAAUCUAUAAAAGGAACUCGGCAAAUUAAUUUGCUCCGCCUGUUUAUCAAAAACAUGGCUCUGUGAAAAUACAACUGAUGUAGAGUCGGACCUGCCCAGUGAAAAUUUUUUUAACGGCCGCGGUACUCUGACCGUGCAAAGGUAGCAUAAUCAUUUGCCCUAUAAUUGAGGGCUAGUAUGAAUGGUUUGACGUGAGCAAAGCUGUCUCUUAUAGAAUACUUAGAAAUUAACUUACAGGUGAAGAUGCCUGUAUCAAAUUGAUAGACAAGAAGACCCUAUCGAGCUUUAAAAAAAUGUUCAGAACGAAAUUGCCUUGCUUCUAGGACAUUUAACUGAAUAAAAUUUUGGUUGGGGCGACUAAGGAACAAAUAAAGCUUCCUCUAAUUUAAGUAGGAACUUUCAGGUGAUGAUCCAAACUUUAUUGAUCAAAGGAAUUAGUUACCGUAGGGAUAACAGCAUAAUCUUUUUUGAGAGCUCAUAUCGAAAAAAAGGUUUGUGACCUCGAUGUUGGACUAGAGUUUCCUGAAGGUGCAGAAGUCUUCAAGGGUUGGUCUGUUCGACCAUUAAAACUCUACAUGAUCUGAGUUCAGACCGGCGUGAGCCAGGUCAGUUUCUAUCUUCAAUUACUUAAUCUAAAUUUAGUACGAAAGGACCAACUUAGAAAAAUUAUUUUUUGUAAUGAUGUAAUAUAAUUAAAAUGUGAGUAAU